AUUGUUAUUUAUAGAUUUGCAAUGAUUACUAGCUAACACCAUGGGUACCUAUUCUGUAUCACCUCAAUAGAUUUAAGCCAAGGGUAGGUAUCCCAACUAAAUUGAUAGAGGUGUUUUAAUAAAACGUAAUGCCAGCUUUAGUAUGCAAUAUUUACUGAUAUGAAUUUGAGUAAGCCAACUAAUAUUUAUAGUAAUAUUAUUACAUAAUAAGAUAUCAGUGGGGUAGUAACUUAUGCUCCAUAACGAGGAAAAAGUUUAUUAAAAUUACGAUGAAAAAAUAUAACGAAACAGCACAAAUAGAGUGAUGUCAUAGUUAACCAGUACCUAUGUAUUUAGUGAUCAUUGUUCAACUGGAUGACAAUGUACAUAAAUAUACGCAUUCUAGAUAACU